GCAAUCACAAGCACAAAUCCAGGCUGAGGAUGAGCAGAUGGAGCAACCCUGGUGAAGACUUGGGAGUGCUGGUGGGUGAGAGCUGGACAGACCCCAUCUUAGAAACCCCCCUGUGCUGGGCUGAUCCCCCAGUGUGGGCAGCAGGGGAGGGGGGAAAUCUGCUCCUCUGCCCUGCUCAGGUGAGAUCCCACCUGCAGAGCUGCCUUGAGCCCAGGGGUCCUCAGCAUCAGAAGGACAUGGAGCUCCUGGAAGUGGGUCCAGAGGUGGGUAGCAAAGAUCAGGGGCUGGAGUGCCUCUGCUUUGGAGACAGGCUGUGAGAACUGGGGGUGUUCAGCCUGGAGAAGAGGAGGCUCUAGGGAGAUCUUACAGCAGCCUUCCAGUGCCUAAAGUGACUCCCAGAGAGCUGGAGAAGGACUUUUGGACAAGGGCACAUAGGGACAGGACAAGGGUGAAUGGCUUCAAACUGAAAGGGCAUAGAUUUACAUUAGAGAGGACACGUUUUUAUGAUCAGAAUGGUGGGACCCUGGCACAGGUUGCCCAGGGAAGCUGUGGCUGCCCCAUCCCUGGAAGUGUUCAGGGCCAGGCUGGAUGGGGCUUGGAGCAGCCUGGGAUAGUGGAAGGUGUCCUGGCCCCUGGCAGGAGGGUGGAUCUGGAUGAGCUUUAACAUCCCUUCAAACCUAGACCAUUCUGGGAUUCUAGAUACAACCUUGCUGUUUUGGGAUGGUGCAUAAAAGUAUAAAAACUUCCUGGAUGCUCAUGUGUGUUGCUGAUGUCUUUUACACUUCUCUAGAUGCUGAACGGGUGGACAGCACAACGCUGUUGGGAACUUCAUGUGUGGACUGUGCUAAAAGGAAGUUAAGAGAAAGUGGCACUGAUUCUCCUAAGAGGAUAAAGCAGUCAGAUAAUGAUAUACCCACUCUUGAAUGAAAACCCCAAACACCCAAGGCCCACCUCAGCUUUUUAACAGUAGGUGUUUUACAUCUGCUGCAUGGAGAGUUUUGAGCUGGUAUUUCCAUAAUUUUAAGUGGAAUAAAAUUGCACAUACUAGCUUUCUCUUUUCUAAA